rnacentral:rRNA from 1 species
CCGGAGAGGGAGCCUUAAAAACGGCUACCACAUCCAAGGAAGGCAGCAGGCACGCAAAUUACCCAAUGGUCGAAGACCGAGGUAGUGACGAAAAAUAACAAUACAAGACUCUUCCGAGGCCUUGUAAUUGGAAUGAGUACACUUUAAAACCGUUCCCGAGGAUCUAUUGGAGGGCAAGUCUGGUGCCAGCAGCCGCGGUAAUUCCAGCUCCAAUAGCGUAUAUUAAAGUUGUUGUGGUUAAAAAGCUCGUAGUUGGAUUUCGGCGGGUAUUGGUCGGUUUGAAUUGCUUCAACACUGACUUUUUUACCCGUGUGUUUUGUCAGAAUUUAACGGGUGAUCUUCGCCGAUUGUCCGUUAGAACUGACAGGUUUACUUUGAAAAAAUUAGAGUGCUCAAAGCAAGCUUGAUUGCUUGAAUAUUCGUGCAUGGAAUAAUAGAAUAGGAAGUCGUUUCUAUUUUGUUGGUUUUCGGAAAUCGACUUAAUGAUUAAUAGGGAUAGUCGGGGGCAUUUGUAUUCAAACGACAGAGGUGAAAUUCUUGGACCGUUUGAAGACAAACUACUGCGAAAGCAUUUGCCAAGAAUGUUUUCAUUAAUCAAGAACGAAAGUUAGAGGUUCGAAGGCGAUUAGAUACCGCCCUAGUUCUAACCAUAAACGAUGCCAGCUAGCGAUCUGCCGGUGUUUGAUUUUCUGACUCGGCAGGCAGCUUCCGGGAAACCAAAGCUUGUGGGUUCCAGGGGAAGUAUGGUUGCAAAGCUGAAACUUAAAGGAAUUGACGGAAGGGCACCACCAGGAGUGGAGCCUGUGGCUUAAUUUGACCCAACACGGGAAAUCUCACCAGGCCCGGACACCAGAAGGAUUGACAGAUUGAUAGCUCUUUCUUGAUUUGGUGGGUGGUGGUGCAUGGCCGUUCUUAGUUGGUGGAGUGAUUUGUCUGGUUAAUUCCGAUAACGAACGAGACUCUGUCCUGUUAAAUAGAUCCAACCUAGUCGUAGGGUUGGAAUUUCUUCUUAGAGGGACUGGUGAUUAUUAGUCACACGAGAUUGAGCAAUAACAGGUCUGUGAUGCCCUUAGAUGUUCUGGGCCGCACACGCGCUACACUGAAGUGAUCAGCUAGUUUUUCCCUCUCCGAGAGGAGCGGGUAAACUGUUGAGCCCACUUCGUGGUAGGGAUCGGAGCUUGCAAUUAUUCUCCGUGAACCAGGAAUUCCCAGUAGGUGCAAGUCAUAAGCUUGCAUCGAUUACGUCCCUGCCCUUUGUACACACCGCCCGUCGCUACUACCGAUUGAGUGUUUUAGUGAGGACCUCGGAUUGCUUGCUGGGCGGUUCGCGCUGCCUAGCUGGCGAAAAGACGUCCAAACUGUAGCACUUAGAGGAAGUAAAAGUCGUAACAAGGUU